UGGGGAAUAUUGCGCAAUGGGGGGAACCCUGACGCAGCCAUGCCGCGUGAAUGAAGAAGGCCUUCGGGUUGUAAAGUUCUUUCGGUAUUGAGGAAGGUUGAUGUGUUAAUAGCACAUCAAAUUGACGUUAAAUACAGAAGAAGCACCGGCUAACUCCGUGCCAGCAGCCGCGGUAAUACGGAGGGUGCGAGCGUUAAUCGGAAUAACUGGGCGUAAAGGGCGCGCAGGCGGUUAUUUAAGUGAGGUGUGAAAGCCCCGGGCUUAACCUGGGAAUUGCAUUUCAGACUGGGUAACUAGAGUACUUUAGGGAGGGGUAGAAUUCCACGUGUAGCGGUGAAAUGCGUAGAGAUGUGGAGGAAUACCGAAGGCGAAGGCAGCCCCUUGGGAAUGUACUGACGCUCAUGUGCGAAAGCGUGGGGAGCAAACAGGAUUAGAUACCCUGGUAGUCCACGCUGUAAACGCUGUCGAUUUGGGGGUUGGGGUUUAACUCUGGCGCCCGUAGCUAACGUGAUAAAUCGACCGCCUGGGGAGUACGGCCGCAAGGUUA
rnacentral:rRNA from 1 species